rnacentral:rRNA from 1 species
ACCAGACUCCUACGGGAGGCAGCAGUGGGGAAUAUUGGACAAUGGGGGGAACCCUGAUCCAGCGACGCCGCGUGAGUGAAGAAGUAUCUCGGUAUGUAAAGCUCUCUCAGCAGGGAAGAAAGAAAUGACGGUACCUGACUAAGAAGCCCCGGCUAACUACGUGCCAGCAGCCGCGGUAAUACGUAGGUGGCAAGCGUUAUCCGGAUUUAUUGGGUGUAAAGGGCGUGUAGGCGGGAAUGCAAGUCAGAUGUGAAAACUAUGGGCUCAACCCAUAGCCUGCAUUUGAAACUGUUGGUCUUGAGUAUCGGAGAGGCAGGCGGAAUUCCUAGUGUAGCGGUGAAAUGCGUAGAUAUUAGGAGGAACACCAGUGGCGAAGGCGGCCUGCUGGACGACAACUGACGGUGAGGCGCGAAAGCGUGGGGAGCAAACAGGAUUAGAUACCCGAGUA